rnacentral:rRNA from 13 species
ACUCUGGUGGAGGCUCGUAGCGAUACUGACGUGCAAAUCGUUCGUCAGACUUGGGUAUAGGGGCGAAAGACUAAUCGAACCAUCUAGUAGCUGGUUCCCUCCGAAGUUUCCCUCAGGAUAGCUAGAGUCUUUAUCAGUUUUGUCAGGUAAAGCGAAUGAUUAGAGGUUCCGGGGAAGUAACUUCCUCGACCUAUUCUCAAACUUUAAAUGGGCAAGAUCCAGUAGUUACUUAAUUGAACUAUUGGGGUCAAUGAGACGACUCUAAGUGGGCCAUUUUUGGUAAGCAGAACUGGCGAUGAGGGAUGAACCUAACGCUCGGUUAAGGUGCUAAAC